UAUCAAACAUAUCCACCAAAGCUAUCCUUCAUUUUCAUCAUGAUUUCUAUAGAGAACUUCUCAUUUUUCUUCACUUCAUAUCUUUCCAAAACUAAUGGUAUAAGUCAUUUUCCACCUAUACACCAUUACUAGCUACUUCCUACACCCACCCCCAACAAAAGCCCUCAAAAUGUUGCAAAAGCUAUUGUGAUAGAUAAAGCUUUCUGCAUAGCUGCAAUGGAACCAUAAUCUUGACGCCCGUCUUCUAUGGCUACAUGAUUUCUGGUAAAGAUUGCUUCAACUCCUGCUGUUAUUCAUGUUUAGAACAGAAUCCUGUCUUGGUAAAUGUCCAAGGCCUGUAUAACCUUCUCUAUCAGUAAUUUCCGAUGUAAUCUAUACUUUAUUGCUGCUUCGAAUGUUCUCCUGCAUUCAGGCAUCGAAUCUAGGAUUUUCUGGUCUUCGUCAGAAGUUGUGGGAAAUUCUGCAAGCAUCUGGUGGCAUUCUUCUUGCAGCUCCUUCACUGCUUUCCUCUCUAGACUUGGUCAGAUGGAGAUCUCCCUCCAAUUCCAAGUCUAGAGAGGAAA
rnacentral:misc_RNA from 1 species